AUGAACGCUGGCGGCGUGCCUAAUACAUGCACGUCGAGCGAACAGAUGAGGAGCUUGCUCCUCUGACGUUAGCGGCGGACGGGUGAGUAACACGUGGAUAACCUACCUAUAAGACUGGGAUAACUUCGGGAAACCGGAGCUAAUACCGGAUAAUAUAUUGAACCGCAUGGUUCAAUAGUGGAAGACGGUUUUGCUGUCACUUAUAGAUGGAUCCGCGCCGCAUUAGCUAGUUGGUAAGGUAACGGCUUACCAAGGCAACGAUGCGUAGCCGACCUGAGAGGGUGAUCGGCCACACUGGAACUGAGACACGGUCCAGACUCCUACGGGAGGCAGCAGUAGGGAAUCUUCCGCAAUGGGCGAAAGCCUGACGGAGCAACGCCGCGUGAGUGAUGAAGGUCUUCGGAUCGUAAAACUCUGUUAUUAGGGAAGAACAAAUGUGUAAGUAACUAUGCACGUCUUGACGGUACCUAAUCAGAAAGCCACGGCUAACUACGUG
rnacentral:rRNA from 1 species